GGCCUCUCUCCCCGGCUCCACCUCCCAGGCCAGUGACUCCUUCAUCAGCCGCCUGCUGGCCAUCGUGGCUGACCUUUAUCAGCAGGAGCAGUACAGUGAUCUGAAGGUGAAGAUUGGAGAGCAGAGGCUCAGUGCUCAUAAAUUCGUGCUGGCUUCUCGGAGUGAAAUCUGGAGCUUAGCCAACCUGGCCUCCACCUCAGAACUGGACCUCUCAGAUGCCAAACCAGAGGUUGCCAUGGCAAUGCUGCGCUGGGCGUACACGGAUG